UAGAAGGUGAGAUCUGGAGUUAAACAUGUC
rnacentral:piRNA from 1 species